rnacentral:rRNA from 1 species
GUGAAGCUGGAUUCGCUAGUAAUCGCGCAUCAGCCAUGGCGCGGUGAAUACGUUCCCGGGCCUUGUACACACCGCCCGUCAAGCCAUGAAAGCCGGGGGUACCUGAAGUACGUAACCGCAAGGAGCGUCCUAGGGUAAAACUGGUAAUUGGGGCUAAGUCGUAACAAGGUAGC